GGGUGAGUAACGCGUAAUCAACCUGCCCUUCAGAGGGGGACAACAGUUGGAAACGACUGCUAAUACCGCAUACGAUCUAAUCUCGGCAUCGAGGAUAGAUGAAAGGUGGCCUCUACAUGUAAGCUAUCACUGAAGGAGGGGAUUGCGUCUGAUUAGCUAGUUGGAGGGGUAACGGCCCACCAAGGCGAUGAUCAGUAGCCGGUCUGAGACGAUGAACGGCCACAUUGGGACUGAGACACGGCCCAGACUCCUACGGGAGGCAGCAGUGGGGAAUCUUCCGCAAUGGACGAAAGUCUGACGGAGCAACGCCGCGUGAGUGAUGACCGGCUUCGGGUUGUAAAGCUCUGUUAAUCGGGACGAAAGGCCUUCUUGCGAAUAGUGAGAAAGAUUGAC
rnacentral:rRNA from 1 species